CUGCACUCUAGCCUGGGUGACAGAGCGAGACUCUGUCUCAAAAAAAAAAAAAGAAAGAAGAUGAAGAGUUAAGAGUUCAAGAGAGCUGAAUACCAAGUGCUGACAGAAGGGACCCCCAAGGGAUGCAAACUGAUCCACACAGCAGAACCCCAGAAAGGUUUAGGAAGUGGUGAUACAGGCACCACAGAGGCAAGAGUGAAUAUAGGGGAAAUGAAUGAAAAUCUGUGUGAAGAUGCUUAGAUCAUCUGCCAAAUUUCUCCCCCAUCCAGAGGGAAGACUUUCCAAUCCCCACAAAGAGAUCACCAGGUUCCCACCUAAUCUCCUUAUAGUGAAGUCUAUCAGCUCAUAAGGCCCAGGCAUGCACACACAGCUUGCAAUGAUUUAUUCUUUUUUUUUUUUUUGAGACAGAGUUUCGCUCUUUCGCCCAGGCUGGAGUACAGUGGCGCAAUCUCGGCUCACUGCAAC
rnacentral:lncRNA from 1 species